rnacentral:rRNA from 1 species
AUUGAACGCUGGCGGCAGGCCUAACACAUGCAAGUCGAGCGGAUGAAGGGAGCUUGCUCCUGGAUUCAGCGGCGGACGGGUGAGUAAUGCCUAGGAAUCUGCCUGGUAGUGGGGGAUAACGUCCGGAAACGGGCGCUAAUACCGCAUACGUCCUGAGGGAGAAAGUGGGGGAUCUUCGGACCUCACGCUAUCAGAUGAGCCUAGGUCGGAUUAGCUAGUUGGUGGGGUAAAGGCCUACCAAUGCGACGAUCCGUAACUGGUCUGAGAGGAUGAUCAGUCACACUGGAACUGAGACACGGUCCAGACUCCUACGGGAGGCAGCAGUGGGGAAUAUUGGACAAUGGGCGAAAGCCUGAUCCAGCCAUGCCGCGUGUGUGAAGAAGGUCUUCGGAUUGUAAAGCACUUUAAGUUGGGAGGAAGGGCAGUAAGUUAAUACCUUGCUGUUUUGACGUUACCAACAGAAUAAGCACCGGCUAACUUCGUG